CCUACGGGAGGCAGCAGUCGAGAAUCAUUCACAAUGGGGGAAACCCUGAUGGUGCGACGCCGCGUGGGGGAAUGAAGGUCUUCGGAUUGUAAACCCCUGUCAUGUGGGAGCAAAUUAAAAAGAUAGUACCACAAGAGGAAGAGACGGCUAACUCUGUGCCAGCAGCCGCGGGAAUAAAGAGGUCUCAAGCGUUGUUCGGAAUCACUGGGCGUAAAGCGUGCGUAGGCUGUUUCGUAAGUCGUGUGUGAAAGGCGCGGGCUCAACCCGCGGACGGCACAUGAUACUGCGAGACUAGAGUAAUGGAGGGGGAACCGGAAUUCUCGGUGUAGCAGUGAAAUGCGUAGAUAUCGAGAGGAACACUCGUGGCGAAGGCGGGUUCCUGGACAUUAACUGACGCUGAGGCACGAAGGCCAGGGGAGCGAAAGGGAUUAGAUACCCGGGUAGUC
rnacentral:rRNA from 1 species